AGUGAACGCUGGCGGUAGGCCUAACACAUGCAAGUCGAACGGCAGCACAGUAAGAGCUUGCUCUUACGGGUGGCGAGUGGCGGACGGGUGAGGAAUACAUCGGAAUCUACUUUUUCGUGGGGGAUAACGUAGGGAAACUUACGCUAAUACCGCAUACGACCUACGGGUGAAAGCAGGGGAUCUUCGGACCUUGCGCGAUUGAAUGAGCCGAUGUCGGAUUAGCUAGUUGGCGGGGUAAAGGCCCACCAAGGCGACGAUCCGUAGCUGGUCUGAGAGGAUGAUCAGCCACACUGGAACUGAGACACGGUCCAGACUCAUACGGGAGCCAGCAGUGGGGAAUAGUGGAAAAUGGGCGCAAGCUUGAUCAAGCCAUACCGCGUGGGUGAAGAAGGCCUUCGGGUUGUAAAGCCCUUUUGUUGGGAAAGAAAAGCAGCAGGUUAAUACCCCGCUGUUCUGACGGUACCCAAAGAAUAAGCACCGGCUAACUCCGUG
rnacentral:rRNA from 1 species